rnacentral:rRNA from 1 species
CUACGGGGCGCAGCAGUGGGGAAUAUUGGACAAUGGGGGAAACCCUGAUCCAGCAAUGCCGCGUGUGUGAAGAAGGCCUGCGGGUUGUAAAGCACUUUCGGUUGGGAGGACUGCUUCUAGCACUAAUAUUGUUGGAAGUUGACGUUACCUUCAGAAGAAGCACCGGCUAACUCCGUGCCAGCAGCCGCGGUAAUACGGGAGGGUGCAUGCGUUAAUCGGAAUUACUGGGCGUAAAGCGCGCGUAGGCGGCUAGAUCAGUCGGGUGUGAAAGCCCCGGGGUUAACCUGGGAACUGCAUCCGAUACUGUCUAGCUUGAGUACAGGAGAGGAGAGUGGAAUUCCACAUGUAGCGGUGAAAUGCGUAGAUAUGUGGAGGAACACCAAUGGCGAAGGCAGCUCUCUGGCCUGAUACUGACGCUGAGGUGCGAAAGCGUGGGGAGCAAACAGGAUUAGAUACCCCUGUAGUC